rnacentral:rRNA from 1 species
UACGUAGGUGGCAAGCGUUGUCCGGAUUUACUGGGCGUAAAGAGCGCGCAGGCGGUCGUUCAAGUCGAGUGUGAAAGCCCCCGGCUCAACUGGGGAGGGUCACUCGAUACUGAUCGACUCGAAGGCAGAAGAGGGAAGCGGAAUUCCCGGUGUAGUGGUGAAAUGCGUAGAUAUCGGGAAGAACACCCGUGGCUAAGGCGGCUCUCUAGUACGGUACUGACGCUGAGACGCGAAAGCGUGGGGAGCGAACAGG